rnacentral:rRNA from 1 species
UACGUAGGGAGCAAGCGUUAUCCGGAAUUAUAGGGUGUAAAGGGUGCGUAGACGGGAUAACAAGUUGGUUGUGAAACCCCUCGGCUCAACUGAGGAACUGCAACCAAAACUAUUAUUCUUGAGUGCAGGAGAGGAAAGUGGAAUUCCUAGUGUAGCGGUGAAAUGCGUAGAUAUUAGGAAGAACACCGGUGGCGAAGGCGACUUUCUGGACUGUAACUGACGUUGAGGCACGAAAGUGUGGGGAGCAAACAGG